AAAAAUUGAGUACACUUGAUUCGUAUUAUAACUCUUCGACACAAAUUAAACUAUGUGUUGAUAAUAAAUUUUAAAUAGAAAAUAAAAAAUAAAAAAUGAGUGGUUUAAAAAUUAAUAUAAAAUAAAAUAUAAUAGAAUACAUAACAAAAUUAGAAGAAAAAAACUAGCAUAAAUAAACAUAAAAAUAAAAAAUUCUAAAAGA
rnacentral:lncRNA from 1 species